rnacentral:rRNA from 1 species
AGAGUUUGAUCCUGGCUCAGGACGAACGCUGGCGGCGUGCCUAAUACAUGCAAGUCGAACGAACUCUGGUAUUGAUUGGUGCUUGCAUCAUGAUUUACAUUUGAGUAAGUGGCGAACUGGUGAGUAACACGUGGGAAACCUGCCCAGAAGCGGGGGAUAACACCUGGAAACAGAUGCUAAUACCGCAUAACAACUUGGACCGCAUGGUCCGAGUUUGAAAGAUGGCUUCGGCUAUCACUUUUGGAUGGUCCCGCGGCGUAUUAGCUAGAUGGUGGGGUAACGGCUCACCAUGGCAAUGAUACGUAGCCGACCUGAGAGGGUAAUCGGCCACAUUGGGACUGAGACACGGCCCAAACUCCUACGGGAGGCAGCAGUAGGGAAUCUUCCACAAUGGACGAAAGUCUGAUGGAGCAACGCCGCGUGAGUGAAGAAGGGUUUCGGCUCGUAAAACUCUGUUGUUAAAGAAGAACAUAUCUGAGAGUAACUGUUCAGGUAUUGACGGUAUUUAACCAGAAAGCCACGGCUAACUACGUGCCAGCAGCCGCGGUAAUACGUAGGUGGCAAGCGUUGUCCGGAUUUAUUGGGCGUAAAGCGAGCGCAGGCGGUUUUUUAAGUCUGAUGUGAAAGCCUUCGGCUCAACCGAAGAAGUGCAUCGGAAACUGGGAAACUUGAGUGCAGAAGAGGACAGUGGAACUCCAUGUGUAGCGGUGAAAUGCGUAGAUAUAUGGAAGAACACCAGUGGCGAAGGCGGCUGUCUGGUCUGUAACUGACGCUGAGGCUCGAAAGUAUGGGUAGCAAACAGGAUUAGAUACCCUGGUAGUCCAUACCGUAAACGAUGAAUGCUAAGUGUUGGAGGGUUUCCGCCCUUCAGUGCUGCAGCUAACGCAUUAAGCAUUCCGCCUGGGGAGUACGGCCGCAAGGCUGAAACUCAAAGGAAUUGACGGGGGCCCGCACAAGCGGUGGAGCAUGUGGUUUAAUUCGAAGCUACGCGAAGAACCUUACCAGGUCUUGACAUACUAUGCAAAUCUAAGAGAUUAGACGUUCCCUUCGGGGACAUGGAUACAGGUGGUGCAUGGUUGUCGUCAGCUCGUGUCGUGAGAUGUUGGGUUAAGUCCCGCAACGAGCGCAACCCUUAUUAUCAGUUGCCAGCAUUAAGUUGGGCACUCUGGUGAGACUGCCGGUGACAAACCGGAGGAAGGUGGGGAUGACGUCAAAUCAUCAUGCCCCUUAUGACCUGGGCUACACACGUGCUACAAUGGAUGGUACAACGAGUUGCGAACUCGCGAGAGUAAGCUAAUCUCUUAAAGCCAUUCUCAGUUCGGAUUGUAGGCUGCAACUCGCCUACAUGAAGUCGGAAUCGCUAGUAAUCGCGGAUCAGCAUGCCGCGGUGAAUACGUUCCCGGGCCUUGUACACACCGCCCGUCACACCAUGAGAGUUUGUAACACCCAAAGUCGGUGGGGUAACCUUUUAGGAACCAGCCGCCUAAGGUGGGACAGAUGAUUAGGGUGAAGUCGUAACAAGGUAGCCGUAGGAGAACCUGCGGCUG